rnacentral:rRNA from 1 species
CGGACGGGUGAGUAACACGUGGAUAACCUACCUAUAAGACUGGGAUAACUUCGGGAAACCGGAGCUAAUACCGGAUAAUAUAUUGAACCGCAUGGUUCAAUAGUGAAAGACGGUUUUGCUGUCACUUAUAGAUGGAUCCGCGCCGCAUUAGCUAGUUUGUAAGGUAACGGCUUACCAAGGCGACGAUGCGUAGCCGACCUGAGAGGGUGAUCGGCCACACUGGAACUGAGACACGGUCCAG